GCAGCUAUUUGCUUAUGCAGCUACGUGCCAAGCCUGGUGAAAGAGGCUGUAUUUCUCCCUGAUUUAGUUCUCUCCCCCAGGCCUCACUCCAAAGGUGAAGGGAAUUGGAAAGUGAACUCACUAAGAUCCAGACGAUGACUUCAGAAAACCACCACCAAACCAAGGGACUUCAGUACUGAGCAGGCAUGUCCUGCUCCUCAAAGCCACUCACAUAUGUGUCCUCAUGAAGGGAAAAAAUGGAAAAUGGAGGCAUAAGAAAAGAAAUUGGAGGUCUCUCCAGUCAUAUGUGCAACAGAGACCCCAGUCCUGAGGCAAACUGGAGAGCCCUCUAUAGCAGAAAGGAACCAAGACCUUCGAUUCCCACAGAGAGUAAAAGACUGAUAAAUUCAUGAUGGCUUCAAAGAAGAUACUACAUGCCACAUGACUCGGUCCCAGUGAUGCAGCUGUCUCCAAGCCCUCACUGUCAACCCACACUGUGAGGCAAAUC
rnacentral:lncRNA from 1 species